AACGGUAAUUUUAAUUUGUUAGGCUAUUUUAUCUACAGCUCGUUAGAGGUAGAAUUCUUUAGUCAAAUAAAGUAGCGCCAAGAUGAUAUUUAUUGAAAUUAAUUCAAAUUCAUUAAUGAGAGAGAAAGAGAACGUGCGAGUGAGUGUGAAGCUUGUUGGUUUAAUUACAAAAACUGCUAAGUUAUCACCUCAUUGCUGAGAAAUAUAAUGUAGCUUUUAGCUGUUGUUUUUAUAUAAUUCAUGGGGUUGAAAACCAGCUCCUGAAUGUACAAUUGUUUACCUAUAUAAAGUUUCCAUUUCAAUAAAAUGCAAGCGCAAACAGCACAUCGGCAUUAAAACACAAACUUUAUGGGCAAACAUGUCGCCCUCGCAUUGGGAGUUCUGCAGGGAAUCGGAUUUUUGUGUUUAGACGUAGGUCGGAUGUCCAGAUAUCGGAUAUGUAUCUGAUUUAAAACCACAUUUGGAAGUGGCUCAGGAUGCAAAAAAAAUCUGAUCUCAUGUGGAUUUUUGUGUUUAGACGUAGGUCGGAUGUCCAGAUAUCGGAUAUGUAUCUGAUUUAAAACCACAUUUGGAAGUGGCUCAGGAUGCAAAAAAAAUCUGAUCUCAUGUGGAUUUUUGUGUUUACACACGUGCAACAAAUUCCGAUCUGUGUCAGAUGUGAGCAAAAAAUAUGAUUUUUUGUGCCAGUGUAAAUGCGCCCAAAAGGGAACUCGGAAUCGGGUAUUUAAAUCAGAUUCAAAAACAGGUGCAGUGCCAUGAUGCGAGUGUGUUUCAUUACUUCUUAUUUCUUAUAAACUACUAAAAAAGUUUGUCUUUAGUAGUAAAAAAAAAAAAAAAGUAGUUUGACAGCUUUCUUUUUGGUUAUGUCAUCAAGGUAAAAAAAAAAGCACAACGAUGCUCACUGUAGUUCCAGUGACUUUAUCGCGGUGUCUUCAGUUCUAAACGGAGCGACCGAUCGCUGCGCGUGCGCUGAAGUUUUGUGUGGAAUGCAUGUAAUGCACAUGUAAACAAAUAUGUGAAUUAGAUUGCAUCUUUUAGGGUUUAUAUAAAGAGCUUUCAGAAUCUUAAAUCGGAUUGCAUUCAUUCACACAGUAAAUAUACCUAGUGACUUGAGUCUAAAAUCAGCUUAUUAUAAAAACCUAACAAUGCAAAAAAAAAUUUGAUGCCAAAACAAUCAAACAUGCACAAAAAGACAUUGAAUAAACCAUCCAAACAUCAAUAAAAGUUUUUUAAACCGAGCCAAACUGGAAAAAGUGCAAAAAUGUUUGAUGUUGCUUUAACUUUUUAUGACCAAUGCUCAAUAAAAGAAGAGUUUAAGGCAUUGACAUGACCUACA
rnacentral:lncRNA from 1 species